AGCUCCAAUAGCGUAUAUUAAAGUUGUUGCAGUUAAAAAGCUCGUAGUUGAACUUUGGGCUUGGUCAGCCGGUCCGCUUUUUUGCGUGUACUGGUCCUGACCGAGCCUUUCCUUCUGGCUAACCUGUCUCUCGGGGCAGGCGAACCAGGACUUUUACUUUGAAAAAAUUAGAGUGUUCAAAGCAGGCCUUUGCUCGAAUAUAUUAGCAUGGAAUAAUAGAAUAGGACGUUUGGUUCUAUUU
rnacentral:rRNA from 1 species